rnacentral:lncRNA from 1 species
GCGGCGCGGCGGGGACCGAGAGCUGCGGGCGGGCUGGAGGUACCCCACCGCGGGGUGGUGCUCUGACUGCGGGAACCGUUGAAGAGCUGCCCCCGGGGAGUCAGCGAGGCGCCACUGGUCUCUUAGACAUCUUCUCAAGAUUAUGCUAAGAGAAAUGACUGCACCCUUUUCCUGAGCUAUGGCAGUCAGACCUGGCAGUGGUAACUACUCUACAGAACUCCCAAACCUGGCAAGGAUGGUGCAGAUUUUGGCAGAUUAUGGCUUUGUCCCCACCCAGCACUGAUGAUAUUAUAAACAGACCUAUACUACAAGAAAUGAUAAUGGAAGUUCUUCAACUGAGCAAGAAAUGAUAUUAACAGAAAACUUGGAUCUUCAGAAGCAAAUGAAGAACAUCAGAAAUG